CCACCCCGCCGCUGCAGCCCCUCUGGGUGUGCGCCCGCCUUUCCCUAGCCAGCACUGGGCGGCGGCGGAGGCUGCGGAAAGCCCCCUCACUGUGCGUUGAGCCUCCGCCGGCUCCUCCUCCUUCUCCGCCCCCUCCUCCUUCUUCCCGGGGCGGAGGGUGUUCCCCGAGUUUCCAAGGCACUGGCUCUAUCUCCCGGGGCCUCUCCUCUGGCUGGCCGGGCCUCCUGCUGCCCACAGCAGCCAGGGGAGCCGGAGGGGCUGCUUCAGCACCAGCAGCGGGUGGACAGCUCCCGGCACCGUGCCUUUGCGCGCCGCCUUCUCCACCCGCCUCUGCCUCCCUGGGCGCUGCCCGGAGUUGCCCCCGCGCUCCGGGUCUUGUUGCCCUGCUGCAGCUGAGCAGAAUUGAUUUUCUUGCUGGCCCCCACCAGGGACCGGCUGGCAGCGGUUGUCUGUCUGACCGAAUUGUCCCUGGGUCUGGCGGGUGAUUUAGCUCGCUGCUGCUUUCUGCCACUGCCCUCCUGGAGCAGGAGCGCCUGAGUGGCGGAGGCGGCGGCAGAAACCGCGGCUGUGGCAGGGGCAGCGCCCCGGUCGGUGACUGACUCAUAUGGCCGUCUAGGAAGAAAACCUAUCGGAUGCGAUUUGGAAUCGUCCAUCACCAGGUCAUCCUCUUCCCUCUUCAGCGCCACCAACCUUCCUUUCAAAACGGGGACAGAAACAAAAGAAAGGAAGCACACUGCGUGUCUGUGUUGGUACAGAGAAAAGGGUGUUUUUUCUGUGCAAGAGAAGCCCCUGAAAAUGGGAAGAUUUGGAAGACGCUAACUAGAAGAUUUUCUUUUAAUGGAGGGAAAAGGACCAAGCCUUGUUUCUAGGAAUAGGAUGCAGAGCUGUAAAAGAGCUGCUUUGCCCAGGGGGGCGCUGUCUCCAUCUCAACAAAAUGGUGAAUAAAUGGUGAGAGACCUGAAAGCAGGCACUGUCCAUCUACUGGAGCUUCCCUGGACAUCUGACCCCAGGAGAAUCCUGCAAAGGCAGAGGUGCUUUCCUUCAAGAGGAAAAACCCAGCUCCACAGG